ACCCGUCGGUCCUAAGCAAGCAAAGAGAGAGAAAAUCUUCAUCUCCUUCCUCCAAGCCCUAGCCAACAUCUUCCCCUCUAUUCCUCUUCUUCUUCUCAUCUUCAAGCUCAAGAGACCAAGAUUUCUUCCCUCUUCUCCAAGUCGUGCGACCCACUAGCAAUAGAGGAAAUGGUUUCCUUCCUUCCUAGCCGAAUGAUGCUCACUUCUCUUUACCCAUUUUCAGUUUGUUUCCAAGUUUGAGUCCAAGGUUUUGUUCACAUAUUUCCAAAAGGGGAAUCCUUGAAGUGCAACCACUUGUGUUCUUUCCUCUACACGUCUAUAGCAUUGUUUGGUUCUUCAUUUUCCAUCUUGGGAGGAGCUAAGAAUCCAAGGACCUAUUCUGAAGUUGGAAGUACCGAUGUGCAUUGACGUAAUGAUGAAGAGGCUGGGGAGCAGGGCACUACUGUAGAGGGAGAGGUAGACGCUUAGUAUUUUCCUUGUUGGUUUGACCUUAUGAUGAUGAUGGGUUUAUGAUGAUGGUUGGUUUUAUGUUUAGGAUGGGUCCCUUGUUGGGACGUUUUGUUGAUUUAACUUUUAAACAAUAUAUAUUUUGGUAUGGUAUAACUGUUAUGGUGGGGUGAUGGUAACCCCUUAUACAUUGACUUAGUAUCUUUUUGUAUGUAUUGUAGGGACGGAGUCCCUUCCUAUUUGGAAUUAUUCAUGUUCUUAUAAGAGUAUGAUGGACUCUGAGAGUCUUUUAUGGAUGAAUGAUUGAUUAGAAUAUC